rnacentral:rRNA from 1 species
UACGGAGGGUGCAAGCGUUAUCCGGAUUCACUGGGUUUAAAGGGUGCGUAGGAGGGCAGGUAAGUCAGUGGUGAAAUCUCCAAGCUUAACUUGGAAACUGCCGUUGAUACUAUCUGUCUUGAAUAUUGUGGAGGUGAGCGGAAUAUGUCAUGUAGCGGUGAAAUGCUUAGAUAUGACAUAGAACACCAAUUGCGAAGGCAGCUGACUACGCGAGUAUUGACACUGAGGCACGAAAGCGUGGGGAUCAAACAGG